rnacentral:tRNA from 1 species
CGGGGUGUAGCGCAGUUGGCUAGCGCGCAGCGUUUGGGACGCUGAGGCCGGAGGUUCGAGUCCUCUCACCCCGACCA